CAUUAAAUAGUUGUUGUUCUUUAUUCUAUAUAAAAUUGACCUAUUUCCAAUGACCGCAGAAGAGUGUUGUCAGUGCUAACUCAAAAUCAAAAGAAAAGUGGGGGUCAUGUUUGAUGCAAGAAAAAUAAUUUCAGUCAAACACACAAACUGCAAAAUCAGCAAAAAAUGAGACUCCAAAUUAUACUGGUGGUGUAUGAUCUAAGUUUCCAUGAAAAAUUUUGUCAUGUUAUCAUUUCAUUAUGAAAAUGCUACUUACAUGUCAAGCAUAGAUCUAUCAUGUGAUUUUUGCAAAACAAUUGCAAAGAAAAUAAGGAUAAUACCUCUACAGAGCAAAAAAAACUGAGGCCAUUAUGCGACUACCAUUUUUAGUGCCAUUUUUCUAUUUAGUGUCUGUAUGCCUAUAAGAAGAACUUUUCUCUCACACUGUGCCAGUUUCAUUUGAAAUGUACAAGAAACUCAAAUGCAUGAAAAGAUACAAGGUUUUAGCUUGACCAUGUUGAUAUAAACAGUUUCCAAGUUUUUACAACAUUUUCAGUACCAUAGGACAAAGCAUCAGAUAUAUUGUGUCAAAAAUAGCUGCCGCGACAUAAGUUUGAAGCUAUUACCCUAAAUGCAGCUUUGACAUUUUCUACUCUGACUUGCAUGCAAAUUAUACAUUUAUUAAACUGUUAAAUAUGUUCACUUUUACCUCUGAUGCCCAGAAAAUAGCAAUCAGUAUAGCCUAUAAAAAGCAGUUUUUGAAAAAUAUACACCCAAAACAGUGAAAAGGUGAUAUUUUUGGGUUUUAUCCUCAUUUUCAACAAAAUUGCAAUUAAUUUUCUAUCAAAUUCUAAUCAAAGUAGCCCAUUUCCACCAUCAUCUGGCCAAAUUUUAUUUUUUAUCAAUGUCGUCUUAUAUGGGCCAUCUCGGUUAACCAAAUGGGACCGUUUUGUCUAACAUCAAUACCCCUUACAAGAAUGAAUUGAUACUAAUACAGAUGUAAACUGUGACCAUUCCUCAUCUUUAGACAUCACCUGACCUCAGUUUGACCUUGACCUUUACCUCGUUUUGGACUUAGGUGCAAAAUCUAUCGACAAGGAUACCACUGGGGGCAUUAUGCGUUUUAUAUUGAACGGCAGCUCCUUGUCACAAUUUUAAAGUUUCGUCUAAAUUUAUAAACAUGUCAUUUUGCAAGUAUAUAGUAUUUGUUUUAUUAUAUAUGCCUAUAAAAGAACUAUUCUGCAAAUAUAUUACUGAAAUAUGUUCUCAUUUUUCAGCAGACUUUAGAUGGAUGUUCUUUCCAGAUGUAAAUUAAGUGAAUUGAUGAAAUCCUGAAAAAGUGUUGGUGUUGUCCAGAUAUUAAAAGAAGAAUUGAGGAUCCGAUUUGAUGUGUAAUUCAAAACAAAUCUUCAAAUUGACAAUGGCAAAAAGCAAGGGGAAAUGGAAUACUCCAGUUGAUGAAAAUGGUUAGCAUGGCUAACGUAUGCUUGUGAAAAGUGCAAAGAUCUAUACAGUACUGGGGCAGUAGUUUUUAAGAGAAUUUAAACUGCACUCAGGAGUUGCUUCCCUUCAACUUCAGAAAUCUCUACCUAUAGGUCUGCACAGAUUGAUUGGUCAGUUCACAAACAUUUUGUUAGAAAGUCUGCAAAGCCAUCGACUUGAAUACGUUGGUUUUUUUCAAUGUACCAACAAUAUAGAAAUAAAAUUUGUUUAUAAAUUUGAAA